rnacentral:misc_RNA from 1 species
GGAAAGAAAAGAAAAGAAAGGAAAUAGAUUUAUGAAAUUUAAAAACAAUAAAGUACAUAUAAAUGUAUAUAUAUAAAUAUCCACAAGAGACAAAACCCCACCAACCAUCUUCUUCUUCCUCUUCUCUCUCUCUCCUUGCCGUCUCCCUUGGUCUCUCCCUCCCCACCAUUGUUAUCAAGCUUAAAGCUUGAUUUCCUCUUCAUUUACCCAUCAAAACCCAUAGCUCUCUUCACAAAUAAUUCUCCCCACUCCAUAAGGAAGCUUUAGAUACCCAUUUGAAGAAGAGAAAUUAAAGUUUGCAAGUUGGGUCACAAGGUACUGGAGAUCAGUCCCAGCAGCCGCAGCAGCAACAGUAGUAGUGAGCACACAGAGCCCAAUCAGAUCUGCCAGUGCUUACUAGUUACCUCUACAGUUGUAUUUCUUUUUGGUAGGGCCCAUGUAUGUCUAGAUUUUGUACUUUUUGUUCAUUGUACCUAAAAACAUGAUGUAUUCCAUUUUGAGAUUUGUAAUGUAAACUUGAAAUUUAUUAUCUAUGAAUUUCUAUAUGAAUGCAAUAGAUAAUACUUCAUUUUUAGAUCUCAUAAAUAAUUGAAAAUGAUAUGAUACAAGAGAAUAUGAUAUGGAAAUGUGUGAAAUGAAUAUGGACAUGUUAACAGGUGAUUAGUGGAACCCGCCAGAUGUUAAUAAAAUAAGGUAGGCUCUGUCCGGGUCUCCACAGAAAUAAAAUAUAAAAAAAAAAUUCUACACAUAGAAUACAUGCUUUAAAUGACAUCAAAAGUUUACAAUAGAUAUGAUAAAACAAGAUAGGGUGCUCCGGCACCG